rnacentral:rRNA from 1 species
UACGCGAGGAACGUUACCUGGGCUCGAACGUAAGAUGACUGUAGGUGAAAGCUUACAUCUCUUCGGAGCAUUUUACGAGGUGCUGCAUGGUUGUCGUCAGCUCGUGCCGUGAGGUGUCGGGUUAAGUCCCAUAACGAGCGCAACCCCUACCUUUAGUUGCCAUCAGGUAAUGCUGGGGACUCUAAAGGAACUGCCUACGCAAGUAGUGAGGAAGGCGGGGAUGACGUCAAAUCAGCACGGCCCUUACGUCCAGGGCUACACACGUGCUACAAUGGCCGAUACAGAGGGCAGCUACCUGGUGACAGGAUGCAAAUCUCCAAAGUCGGUCUCAGUUCGGAUCGGAGUCUGCAACCCGACUCCGUGAAGUUGGAUUCGCUAGUAAUCGCGCAUCAGCCAUGGCGCGGUGAAUACGUUCCCGGGCCUU